GACGAACGCUGGCGGCGUGCUUAACACAUGCAAGUCGAACGGAAAGGCCCUGCUUUUGUGGGGUGCUCGAGUGGCGAACGGGUGAGUAACACGUGAGUAACCUGCCCUUGACUUUGGGAUAACUUCAGGAAACUGGGGCUAAUACCGGAUAGGAGCUCCUUCUGCAUGGUGGGGGUUGGAAAGUUUCGGCGGUUGGGGAUGGACUCGCGGCUUAUCAGCUUGUUGGUGGGGUAGUGGCUUACCAAGGCUUUGACGGGUAGCCGGCCUGAGAGGGUGACCGGCCACAUUGGGACUGAGAUACGGCCCAGACUCCUACGGGAGGCAGCAGUGGGGAAUAUUGCACAAUGGGCGGAGGCCUGAUGCAGCAACGCCGCGUGCGGGAUGACGGCCUUCGGGUUGUAAACCGCUUUCGCCUGUGACGAAGCGUGAGUGACGGUAAUGGGUAAAGAAGCACCGGCUAACUACGUG
rnacentral:rRNA from 1 species